GGAACUGUUACUGGUGCAGAAAAUUUUCAUGUUUCUUUGAGUACUUGUGAUGGAAUAGAAAAGUCAUAUUUUGUUCAAUACAGAAGAUCUGAAAUUUAAUGAGGUUACCUGUGGACAUAGUUUGCAUAGAGCAACUCCAUUGAAAAAUAUAAUGCAUGUAUUUAUAAACGUUCAAAUGACUUAAAAACAAGGGUGACUUGUCAAUGAUUUUUUUAGAAGCGA